rnacentral:tRNA from 1 species
UAGCUCAGUUGGUAGAGUGCUUGCCUCACAUGCACGAGGUCAUGGGUUCAAUUCCCAG